rnacentral:rRNA from 1 species
UGGUGGAGUGAUUUGUCUGGUUGAUUCCGAUAACGAACGAGACGGGGGACUUAACUGGUCGUGGUCGUAAUUCGCGUUACUUCCGGCCUCUUAUGUCGACAACUCGGUUUUACCGAGAGGAAGCGCCCCGCAAUAACA